GGUCGGAGGUCGGGAGGGUGCGGUUGCGAGGGGUGUUGGCAAUGGAGUUGUGCGUGUGAGAAAGAAGGCAAAGUGUAAGAGUGAAGAUGGGAGUGUGAGAAAGAGGUAGGAAAUUAAGCGCUAACUGUUACUGGCAAUGGUUUUUAACGACGGUUCUCUAAGAACCGUCAUGGAAAGCUUCAUUUUAACGACGAUUCAUGGCGUGAACCGUCUU
rnacentral:lncRNA from 1 species